rnacentral:rRNA from 1 species
ACUCCUACGGGAGGCAGCAGUGGGGAAUAUUGCACAAUGGGGGAAACCCUGAUGCAGCCAUGCCGCGUGUGUGAAGAAGGCCUUCGGGUUGUAAAGCACUUUCAGUAGGGAGGAAGGUAGUGUAGUUAACACCUGCAUUAUUUGUACGUUACCUACAGAAGAAGCACCGGCUAACUCCGUGCCAGCAGCCGCGGUAAGUACGGAGGGUGCGAGCGUUAAUCGGAAUUACUGGGCGUAAAGCGCAUGCAGGCGGCCUGUUAAGUCAGAUGUGAAACGCCCGGGGUCUUAACCGUCGGAAUUGCAUUUGAAACUGGCAGGCUAGAGUCUUGUAGAGGGGUUAGAAUUUCGAGGUGUAGCGGUGAAAUGCGUAGAGAUCUGAAGGAAUACCGAGUGGCGAA